GAUGAACGCUGGCGGCGUGCCUAAUACAUGCAAGUCGAGCGAACAGACGAGGAGCUUGCUCCUCUGACGUUAGCGGCGGACGGGUGAGUAACACGUGGAUAACCUACCUAUAAGACUGGGAUAACUUCGGGAAACCGGAGCUAAUACCGGAUAAUAUAUUGAACCGCAUGGUUCAAUAGUGAAAGACGGUUUUGCUGUCACUUAUAGAUGGAUCUGCGCCGCAUUAGCUAGUUGGUAAGGUAACGGCUUACCAAGGCAACGAUGCGUAGCCGACCUGAGAGGGUGAUCGGCCACACUGGAACUGAGACACGGUCCAGACUCCUACGGGAGGCAGCAGUAGGGAAUCUUCCGCAAAGGGCGAAAGCCUGACGGAGCAACGCCGCGUGAGUGAUGAAGGUCUUCGGAUCGUAAAACUCUGUUAUUAGGGAAGAACAAAUGUGUAAGUAACUAUGCACGUCUUGACGGUACCUAAUCAGAAAGCCACGGCUAACUACGUG
rnacentral:rRNA from 1 species